rnacentral:misc_RNA from 1 species
UGGAGAGGUUUGGGGAGGAAAUCCAGCUAGGUUUCUGAGGAAGCUCACACAAGAAGAAAUUGCUUUCAUCUCGGAAUCAGCAGCCAACUACUCUAAUUUAGCACAGGUCCAUGCUGGUGAAAAUGCAAAAAGCUUUGAUGCGAUUGAAUUUGAGAAGGCGCUGCGGAAGAAAUUUGCUCACAAGGACGAGGAGUAUGAUUCUAUGCUGGGAGUUGUCCGUGAAACACCUCCCGAG